GACUUUUGACCCUUAUUUUGUGUUUGUGGGCGUGUCAGCAUUUUGGAUAAAGAUGGCCACCGCUCCUUCAUGGGAUACCACCAGCACCAGCCAACAGGCUUGGUGCUGGGAAUGGUGACCUCUUCCACAAAGGUGCUGGGGAACUGACCUGAAGGAACAGAUGUGAACAACAUCGGAGUCGCCACAGCAGAUCAUGUGCCCCCAAAUGUCCAAACCACCUCAGCCUUGUCUCUCCAACUUUGUCUCCAAACCAAUCAACCUGAGCUGUCCCUACCUGUCCAUCCCGCUCGCCCCAAUGAAAAAUCUCCACAUCAUCAGCUCAGCCUCCGGUCUUUUUGUCAGUGCCAUCGUCUCCAAACCAUCACACCAGGUCUCACUACCAAACCUUCCCUUCCACUCUUGCUGCUAUCCUUCUGGCACCCCAUGAACGCCACAUCUCCACCCACUCCAACCUCCUUCACCUCAUGUGUACAUUUCAUUGCUCUGGAUGGCUGACCCCACAUAUUUAAACUCAUCUGUCUUCACUACCUCUAUUCCCUGCAGCUUCGCUGUUA